UACAGAGGUCCCGAGCGUUGUUCGGAUUCACUGGGCGUAAAGGGUGCGCAGGUGGGUUGGCAAGUUUGAUGUGAAAGCCCCCGGGCUUAACCCGGGAAAGGCAUUGAAUACUGCUGAUCUGGAGGAUCGGAGGGGGGGGACUGGAAUUCUUGGUGUAGGCAGUGGAAAUGGCGUAGAUAUCAAGAGGAACACCAGUGGCGAAGCGAGUCCCUGGACG
rnacentral:rRNA from 1 species